GUGCCUCUUCCCAGGUGGCUGAAGUACCAUUAAUGGAGGGAAAGCUUUCACAAGGGUAGCCUUCUUUCCUGGGUAACCUUCUCAGUAGUUUGGGGGAGGGCAUGGAGCCAGCCCACAAAGGAGUUCAGGGGCAGGGCAGUGGGAGCUGAAGAAAGAAGAGGUUAGUGCCACUGCAGACCUGCUCUAGUUCACAACAGAGUAAUAGAAAAACAAGAAGAUAAGAAGAAAAACAAGUGGAUCUCUAUGACCUUGGCACUUUGGGACCUGAGUGGAAAGUCAGAGAGAGCUUUUGCUAUCUCCAUGCAACUUCAUGAGGUGAGACAAAGAACUACUGAGAAAAGAAAACACACCAGUGAACUGAACAGUUAUUGGAAUUUCUAGAAGGCUGGAAGGUGAUUUCAUUGCAACCAAUCAGAUUGGAACAACUUCUUCAUCUACAUCAGAAGGCGUUCCUCACCAAUGGAGCUCAAAGCUCUGGGAAGGAUGCACCUGGAGCACCAAGAACAGGAGGGAGGAAGGAAGGAAACUCUGGCUGAACAGGUGCACCUGAACACUAUUGACUUUGUCAAUAAAGGGAAAAGCUACAAAAGCCAGAGCUUCCUCAUAUCACAUCUUUUACCUCAGAAUUUCUAUCUUGCUUCAGUAAGAAACUUAAUGUCCAAUUUAAUCAGGGUGGAGAAAGAAGUCUUGAAGAUAAAGUUGUGGAGUGUCUCCUAGCACUGUAAGGACAAGAAUAAUGUUGGAAUAUGCAAAGGCAUCAUGUAGCAGUCAAAUGAGGCUUAACUCUGAGUCUUACAGAUGUGACUUUUGGGUCUUCCAGGUGUUUCCUGUUGGUGCAGAAAGAUGGAUCACAACGGGGUCUGAGCUAAGCAAUCAGUGCAGGGGAACAAGAAUGGGGUAGUGAGCUAUAAAAGAACUUAGUCAUUUCAUGAAUUCUGGAAACUCAAAAGGUAAGAGGAGUUAAAUGAGUUGAUUAAAUGAAAAUGAGGAAUAGUGUGUGUAAAUAGCCCACUGGGAAACACCAAGAACAAUAAAUGAAAAUAUUUAGAGAUUGGGGAAAGAAGGAAGCUCCACACAGGACAAGUUGGAGGCUAAGGGUGCAGAGCUAAGGAUGAGGCAUGGCUGAGAAUUUCUGUAGGAAGAGUCCAAUAGUCAUGGGUUGAGAUAAAUAUACUAGGAAAGAGGUCUGAACCAAGAAAGAUGCUCCUGAGGCCUUAUCAUUAAAGAACCCUGAUCCCCAGAGAUAUAGGCAGCUAAGAGAAACCUCAGCUUCAUCUAGAAGGAGAAGGAAAGAGAAAAUGGAGCAUAAAUUAGCAGGUAAAGACAUGAAGACAGGAAAGGAGUGUUCAGUAUUUAUUUAUUAAAUUAAAUUUAUUAGAGUGACAUCGUAUAUAAU